rnacentral:rRNA from 1 species
GAUGAACGCUAGCGGCAGGCUUAAUACAUGCAAGUCGAACGGGAUCCGAGGUAGCAAUACUUUGGUGAGAGUGGCGCACGGGUGCGUAACGCGUAUGCAACCUACCUUUAACAGGGGAAUAGCCCCGAGAAAUCGGGAUUAAUACUCCGUAACAUUGCGGGAUGGCAUCAUUCUGCAAUUAAAGAUUUAUCGGUUAAAGAUGGGCAUGCGUGACAUUAGCUUGUUGGUGAGGUAACGGCUCACCAAGGCAACGAUGUCUAGGGGUCCUGAGAGGGUUAUCCCCCACACUGGUACUGAGACACGGACCAGACUCCUACGGGAGGCAGCAGUAAGGAUAUUGGUCAAUGGGCGCAAGCCUGAACCAGCCAUGCCGCGUGCAGGAAGACGGCCCUAUGGGUUGUAAACUGCUUUUAUACGGGAAGAAAAAAUACUACGUGUAGUACAUUGACGGUACCGUAAGAAUAAGGAUCGGCUAACUCCGUGCCAGCAGCCGCGGUAAU